UACGUAGGGGGCAAGCGUUGUCCGGAUUUAUUGGGCGUAAAGAGCGUGUAGGCGGCUUGGUAGGUCCGCUGUGAAAACUCGAGGCUCAACUUCGAGCUGUCGGUGGAAACUUUCUGGCUAGAGUCCGGAAGAGGAGAGUGGAAUUCCUGGUGUAGCGGUGAAAUGCGCAGAUAUCAGGAAGAACACCCGUGGCGAAGGCGGCUCUCUGGGACGGUACUGACGCUGAGACGCGAAAGCGUGGGGAGUGAACAGG
rnacentral:rRNA from 1 species